AACAAGACAGCUCCAUUUUCCAGUCUGGUUUCAGUGAUGGCAGUCUUCUCUUCCUGUUUGUUGAGUCUCCUGUUUCACUGCAGAUCCGAUCUGCUUUGACCACAGCACUUUGAGAAAAUGAUGUGGAGCAGAAGCAAGGCCCAGCUCAUGGAUGCUGGCAUCAGAGGAAAGGUUGGGUCUGGCCAACUGUUGAGGCUCUGAAGGCAUCUUUCUGAUUGUUCCGGUGCAAAGUAUUUGGCUUCUUUUCAAUGACAUUGAAUCUCCUGGACAAGCAAACCCUCGUUGUCUGCAACAUUAAAUGCACCCCCCUCUGGAUGGACUGAGGGGUUUCCCAGCCUUUCCACUCUGCUUUCUGAU